UCUUACGGAUGAGCAAAGAAAGUGAUUUAUUGAGAUAGAAUUUAUUCCUGGUGAAGAUGCCAUGAA
rnacentral:pre_miRNA from 3 species